GAUGAACGCUAGCUACAGGCUUAACACAUGCAAGUCGAGGGGAAACGGCAUCGAAAGCUUGCUUUUGCUGGGCGUCGACCGGCGCACGGGUGAGUAACGCGUAUCCCACCUGCCCAUCACUUGGGAAUAACCUUGCGAAAGUAAGACUAAUGCCCAAUGACAUCCCACGAAGGCAUCCGAAUGGGAUUAAAGAUUUAUCGGUGAUGGAUGGGGAUGCGUCUGAUUAGCUUGUUGGCGGGGUGACGGCCCACCAAGGCAACGAUCAGUAGGGGUCCUGAGAGGAAGGUCCCCCACAUUGGAACCGCGACCCAGUCCACACGCCUACGGGAGGCAGGAGUGACGAAUAUUGGGCGAUGGGCGAGAGCCGGAACCAGCCAAGUAGCGUGCAGGAGGCCGGCGCUAUGAGUUGUAAACUGCUUUUAAAAGGGAAUAAAGUGGGUCACGUGUGACUUUUUGCAGGUACCUUAUGAAUAAGGACCGGCUAAUUCCGUG
rnacentral:rRNA from 1 species